UACAGAGGGUGCAAGCGUUAAUCGGAAUUACUGGGCGUAAAGCGUGCGUAGACGGUUAUGUAAGUCAGGUGUGAAAGCCCCGGGCUCAACCUGGGAAUUGCAUUUGAGACUGCAUAGCUAGGGUGCAGAAGAGGGAAGCGGAAUUUCCGGUGUAGCGGUGAAAUGCGUAGAUAUCAGGAGGAACACCAAUAGCGAAGGCAGCUCGCUGGGACGGUACUGACGCUGAGACGCGAAAGCGUGGGGAGCAAACAGG
rnacentral:rRNA from 1 species